GUGCCUCAUAUAAACUGCCUCAUUUCUCUAAACUUCAAAUUUUUAUAAAUGGGAAAUAACAUUUUUUUAAUUUACAUAAUUAUAGGACAACAAACAGGUUAAUCUUGGCUGGAAGGCAUUUGGUCAUUAGAACAGAGGAAAUUCAAUAAUCUGAUAUUUUGAAUUGUUUUUGUAACUGAUACAAAGCGGUUUUAAAUAUGUGGUUAAUGAUGCAAGACUUUAAUGCCUGUAUAAUUAAGAAAUGAUUUUUAUAUUUGCAUUUGGCAAAUACAAACUAACUCAUGAAUACAUACGUAAUAACUUAAUAACAGAGUAAUGAUCCUUGUAUGUGUCCAAAUCCACUUAAGACCCAGAGCCCCACCUCCCAAUGAAGACACAUUUAGUACUCCCUGGUUUUUAUUUUGAAACGUUGCUAAUCCUCAGCUUGUCCUCACUGAUGUGAGUACUGGUGAUCUUACUGCUUUCAUUUGAAGCAGAGUGACCACGCCAGGGCCAUUUCUGAAGCCACUGAUAAUGGCUAACAAAAAACUCUCGGCAACGAAUGAGUCUCUGCCCACCAAAGCUACUGAUCCUGCUCCAGCGUAUGGUCAAUAAAGCCCAUUGUGUUCUGGAACUGAUUCUUGGAGGGAAGUUUUCCUGUACAAGCUCUUUUCUUGUCUGCCACCAUGUGAGACAUGCUUUGCACCUUCUGCCAUGAUGGUGAGACCUCCCAAGCCACAAGGAACUGUUAAUAGGCAGAAAGGACUUGCCUUGUCCCAGAUGAGACUUUGGACUGUGGACUUUUGAGUUAAUGCUGAAAUGAAUUAAGAUCUUGGGGGACUGUUGGAAAGGCAUGAUUGGUUUUGAAAUGUGAGGAAGUGAGAUUUGGGAGGGGCUGUGAUGAAAUGAUAUGAUUUGGCUGUGUCCCCACCUAAAUCUCAUCUUGAAUUGUAGCUCCCACAAUUCCCAUGUGUUGUGGGAGAGACCUGGUAGAAAGUAAUUGAAUCAUGGGAGCGGGUCUUUCCCAUGCUAUUCUUGUGAUAGUAAGUAAGUCUCAUGAGAUCUGAUGGUUUUAUAAAAGGGAAGUUUCCCUGCACAAGCUCUUCUCUUGUCUGCCACCAUGUGAGAUGCGCCUUUCACCUUCUGCCAUGAUGGUGAGGCCUCCCCAGUAACAUGGACCUGUUAAGUCCAUUAAACCUUGCCCAGUCUCAGGUAUGUCUUUAUCAGUAGUGUGAAAAUGAACUAAUACAAGGGAGUGCAAGGAUCAAGGCUUUUUAAAAAAGAAAUUGAAAAAAAUAGCAGGAGAGAUGGGGGGCUUGGGGGGGCAGAGAGAGAGAGAAAGGAAGGGAGAGAGAGAGUGAUCCUGAAAGCCAACUAGGAGAAGCAGGGAGGGAUCAA
rnacentral:lncRNA from 1 species